rnacentral:rRNA from 1 species
ACGCAUUUGUCUCUCGCUCGAAGGACGCCGCAGCCGGUUGGGCAGUGAAAACGUGACGGCCUGGAAGGCGGACGAUGGCAGGUGGCCGGUGGCGAGUCUCGUGCUCGUCGCCGGUUGUUAGCCGGUCCGUCGGUGGCUCGUCGUUCGACCGAGGUAUCGAGAAGCCCUUAGGGGCCCUCGCGUCUCCUCCUUUACGGAAGUCGGGACGUGCUGUCGCGAGCGAAGGCAACCGUUCCGCCGCACUCCUUCGGAGUGGGCGAGCGAAAGGUCGGCGCCGUCGGUGACAGUGGACCCGCUGGAGGUCGGAGGCUUGCGGCGAGUAGGUCGGUCACCCACCCGACCCGUCUUGAAACACGGACCAAGGAGUCUAACAUGUGCGCGAGUCAAUGGGUCUCGAAUAAGCCCAGAGGCGCAAUGAAAGUGGAGGUCGGCAGCUCGUCGACCGAGUCGGGAUCCCCUUCCCUCGCGGAGGGGGCGCACCGACGACCCGUCCUAUGCGGCUCGCCGCUUGGGCGGAGUGUGAGCGUACACGUUGGGACCCGAAAGAUGGUGAACUAUGCCCGGACAGGACGAGGCCAGAGGAAACUCUGGUGGAGGUCCGCAGCGGUUCU